rnacentral:lncRNA from 1 species
CGCAGCCACAGGAGACCGGGGCUUGUGUUGAGCACAGUCACGCAGUGUAAGCAAAAAGUUACUUUUAAACGAUUACUUUAUAUUAUUUCAUGCAUUUGUCACAAAAGAACCUACUAUAAUAUUUGCCUCAACAACAAAAAUGUGUCGACUAAAUAAAGUUACUGUCAAGUCUAAAAUAGGCUACUUGUAGAAUGUAAAAAAAAAAACUUCUGACUUUUAAGUCACCGGACAGAAUGGUUGAGUGUUUGCAGUUGUUUUGGUGUGGUCUUGUUAAAGCUCUCACAUGAUGAACUCUCUACCCCCUGUGAAAGGAAACAGGAUCAUCUGUGAACUCCCUUUGUACUUUACAAGGGACGCUGCAGUGCACACCAAAUAUGGCUUCAACAUUACCGUUAAAGAUGCAUGUCAAGGACAGAAAACAGGGCAAGUUACUCUUUUUCUCUCUUUCACAUACAAACAUUUGUUUUGC